AAUGAACGCUGGCGGCAGGCCUAACACAUGCAAGUCGAACGAGUGGAGGACGGGUGCGUAAUGUCUGGGAAACUGCGCGAUGGAGGGGGAUAAAUACUGGAAACGGUCGCUAAUAACGCGUACCAUCGGAUGUGCCGAGAUGGGGUUAGCUUGUAGGUGAGGUAACGGCUACCCUAGGCGACGAUCCAUAGCUGGUCUGAGAGGAUGACCAGCCAGACGGGAACGUUGACACGGUCCAGACUCCUACGGGAGGCAGCAGUGGGGAAUAUUGCACAAUGGGCGCAAGCCUGAUGCAGCCAUGCCGCGUGUAUGAAGAGGGCCUUCGGGUUGUAAAGUACUUUCAGCGGGGAGGCGUUACCCGCAGAAGAAGCACCGGCUAACUCCGUGCCAGCAGCCGCGGUAAUUC
rnacentral:rRNA from 1 species